GUGCCAGCCGCCGCGGUAAGACGGAGGAGGCAAGCGUUGUCCGGAAUUAUUGGGCGUAAAGAGCGCGUAGGUGGUUUUUCAAGUCAUGUGUGAAAACUUCAGGCUCAACUUGAAGAUUGCACAUGAAACUGGAUAACUUGAGUACAGCAGAGGAAAGUGGAAUUCCUGGUGUAGCGGUGAAAUGCGCAGAUAUCAGGAGGAACACCGGUGGCGAAGGCGGCUUUCUGGGCUGUCACUGACGCUGAGGCGCGAAAGCCAGGGGAGCAAACAGGAUUAGAUACCCUGGUAGUCCUGGCUGUAAACGAUGGACACUAGGUGUGGGAAGUUAUCGACGCUUUCUGUGCCGAAGCUAACGCAUUAAGUGUCCCGCCUGGGGAGUACGGCCGCAAGGCUAAAACUCAAAGAAAUUGACGG
rnacentral:rRNA from 1 species